rnacentral:rRNA from 1 species
GAUGAACGCUGGCGGCGUGCCUAAUACAUGCAAGUCGAGCGAACGGACGAGAGGCUUGCUUUUCUGAUGUUAGCGGCGGACGGGUGAGUAACACGUGGAUAACCUACCUAUAAGACUGGGAUAACUUCGGGAAACCGGAGCUACUACCGGAUAAUAUUUUGAACCGCAUGGUUCAAAAGUGAAAGACGGUCUUGCUGUCACGUAUAGAUGGAUCCGCGCUGCAUUAUCUAGUUGGUCAGGUAACGGAUUACCAAGGCGACGAUGGAAAGCCCACCCCAGAGGGUGGUCGGCCACCCUGGAAGUGAGAAACGGCCCCGACACCUACGGGAGGCCGCAGUACGGAAUCCUCCGCGAUGGGGCAAAGGCUGACGGAGCAACGUGGCGUGAGGCAUGAAGGAGCUCGGCUGGGUAAAUGCUGUUAGUAGGGAAGAACAUAUGUUCUUGUAACUGUGAAGAUCUUGACGGUACCUAAUCAGAAAGCCACGGCUAACUACGUG